UACAGAGGUCUCAAGCGUUGUUCGGAAUUACUGGGCGUAAAGGGUGCGCAGGCCGCGCGGGCAGUCAAAUGUGUAAUUCAGGGGCUCAACCCCUGCACUGCGCUUGAUACUUCCGCGCUCGAGCUUUGGAGAGGAGUCUGGAAUUCUCGGGGUAGCAGUGAAAUGCGUGGAUAUCGAGAAGAACACUUAGGGCGUAGGCAAGACUCUGGACAAAUGCUGACGCUCAUGCACGAAGGCUAGGGUAGCGAACGGG
rnacentral:rRNA from 1 species